rnacentral:rRNA from 1 species
CGGCGGACGGGUGAGUAACGCGUGGGUAACCUGCCUCAUACAGGGGGAUAACAGUUGGAAACGGCUGCUAAUACCGCAUAAGCGCACAGUACCGCAUGGUACGUGUGAAAAACUCCGGUGGUAUGAGAUGGACCCGCGUCUGAUUAGGUAGUUGGUGGGGUAACGGCCUACCAAGCCGACGAUCAGUAGCCGCCUGAGAGGGUGACCGGCCACAUUGGGACUGAGACACGGCCCAA